ACUUGUAUAGUAAAAAAAAUACAUUGAUAUUAAAAAUCAAAAAUAAGGAGCUAACCUUUUCAAGUA
rnacentral:tRNA from 1 species